rnacentral:rRNA from 1 species
GUCGAGCGCGUGAACUAACUGAAUCCUUCGGGAGGAAGUUAGUGGAACGAGCGGCGGACGGGUGAGUAACACGUGGGCAACCUGCCUGUGAGACUGGGAUAACCCCGGGAAACCGGGGCUAAUACCGGAUAAUACUUUUCUUUGCAUGAAGAGGAGUUGAAAGGCGGCUUUUAGCUGCCGCUUGCAGAUGGGCCCGCGGCGCAUUAGCUAGUUGGUAAGGUAAGAGCUUACCAAGGCGACGAUGCGUAGCCGACCUGAGAGGGUGAUCGGCCACACUGGGACUGAGACACGGCCCAGACUCCUACGGGAGGCAGCAGUAGGGAAUCUUCCGCAAUGGACGAAAGUCUGACGGAGCAACGCCGCGUGAGUGAUGAAGGUUUUCGGAUCGUAAAGCUCUGUUGUGAGGGAAGAACAAGUACCGUUUGAAAAAGGCGGUACCUUGACGGUACCUCACCAGAAAGCCCCGGCUAACUACGUGCCAGCAGCCGCGGUAAUACGUAGGGGGCAAGCGUUGUCCGGAAUUAUUGGGCGUAAAGCGCGCGCAGGCGGUCUUUUAAGUCUGAUGUGAAAGCCCACGGCUUAACCGUGGAGGGUCAUUGGAAACUGGAGGACUUGAGUGCAGAAGAGGAGAGUGGAAUUCCACGUGUAGCGGUGAAAUGCGUAGAGAUGUGGAGGAACACCAGUGGCGAAUGCGACUCUCUGGUCUGUAACUGACGCUGAGGUGCGAAAGCGUGGGUAGCGAACAGGAUUAGAUACCCUGGUAGUCCACGCCGUAAACGAUGAGUGCUAGGUGUUAGGGGGUUUCCGCCCCUUAGUGCUGAAGUAACGCA